UGAUUCUGACGAGUCGGAUUCAGAAGAAGUGUUUGAUAAGCAAGAUGACGGACGAAGAGAUGACAAGAGGCCAACUCGAUCGUAUUAUUCGAGUAGUCGAUCAAGAGGGUCCUAUAGUUCUCGCGGAAGGGGAAGAGGGAGUUCACAGAUAACCCGUAGCCCACGGAAACAGCCAGAGAAACCGCCACGUUUUCAAAGACAAGAAGCAAGAAGUGCUAGCAGAGGUCGAGGAAAGAGUAACCGAGGAGGAUUUUCUUCCAAAGAUAACUGGGAUGAGAACAUUUCAAAGAAUAGAGAUAGUAGGAAGUCCGAUGAAGGACCUUUGCCCAAAAAGCGUCCGCCGGAUACAUCCUAUUCAAAGGAAAAGUGAUUGUGAACUUUAUUUAAGCACGGAGGCCUGUCGUCCAAAUUGAACAGGAGCGAUAUAGCAUGGUCAAAAACUCAUUAAUAAUUCAUGAAGCAAUUAUCCAAUCUUGAGUAAGAAAUUAGUCACGUGCAUACGUCUUUAUACCGGCUAAAGAACACUUUAACAAAAGACCAUUGUUAUGCAAACUAUAUAAAGAUUUUUAUAUAAAGAUUUUUAUAUAAAGAUUUGACUUAUUAUGCAAACGUUUUUGAAGCCAUUUAAAAAACUCGCAGGU